UGCGUAGGCGGGCUAAUAAGUCAGUGGUGAAAUCUUUCGGCUCAACCGAGAAACUGCCAUUGAUACUGUUAGUCUUGAGUUCGGUUGAGGUAGGCGGAAUGUGUAACGUAGCGGUGAAAUGCUUAGAUAUUACACAGAACACCAAUUGCGUAGGCAGCUUACUAGACCGACACUGACGCUGAGGCACGAAAGCGUGGGGAGCGAACAGGAUUAGAUACCCUGGUAGUCC
rnacentral:rRNA from 1 species